GCUCCCGGAGGCUCCGCAGUGCCGCCGCCGUCGCCCGGGAGGCUCCGCGCGGGAGCCAUGUAACCCUGCGGCGGGCUCCGGGCUGCUCCGUCCUUCCCCACCUCCCGGGCUAGCGCGGCAGCGGGGCCACGAUGAAGAAGCAGUUCAAUCGCAUGCGCCAGCUGGCCAACCAGACGGUGGGCAGGGCUGAAAAGACAGAAGUUUUGAGUGAAGACCUUCUUCAGGUGGAGAAGCGUCUGGAGCUGGUGAAACAGGUGUCCCACAGCACGCACAAGAAGCUCACCGCAUGUCUGCAGGGCCAGCAAGGGGCAGAGGCUGACAAGCGCUCCAAAAAGUUGCCUUUGACAACACUGGCUCAGUGUCUGAUGGAGGGGUCAGCUAUCCUGGGAGAUGACACACUUCUUGGGAAGAUGCUGAAACUCUGUGGAGAGACGGAGGACAAGCUGGCUCAGGAGCUGAUACAUUUUGAGUUGCAAGUAGAGAGAGACGUGAUUGAGCCCCUGUUUUUGCUGGCGGAGGUGGAAAUCCCAAAUAUUCAAAAGCAGAGGAAACACUUAGCCAAGUUGGUGCUGGACAUGGAUUCCUCACGAACCAGGUGGCAGCAGACUUCCAAGUCUUCAGGUUUGUCCAGCAGCUUACAGCCUGCGGGUGCCAAGGCUGAUGCCCUCAGGGAAGAAAUGGAAGAGGCUGCCAACAGAGUGGAGAUUUGCAGGGACCAGCUCUCAGCUGAUAUGUACAGUUUUGUGGCCAAAGAAAUUGACUAUGCAAACUACUUUCAAACGCUAAUAGAAGUGCAAGCUGAAUACCACAGGAAGUCCCUGACACUAUUGCAGGCUGUAUUGCCUCAGAUCAAAGCACAACAGGAGGCCUGGGUAGAGAAGCCUUCCUUCGGGAAGCCGCUGGAGGAGCACCUUACCAUCAGCGGCCGGGAGAUCGCCUUCCCCAUCGAGGCGUGUGUGACCAUGCUGCUUGAGUGUGGGAUGCAGGAGGAGGGACUCUUCCGAGUAGCCCCCUCUGCCUCCAAACUGAAGAAGCUGAAAGCGGCCCUGGACUGCUGCGUGGUGGAUGUGCAGGAGUACUCGGCAGACCCCCAUGCAAUUGCAGGAGCUUUGAAAUCUUACCUCCGAGAGUUGCCAGAACCUCUUAUGACCUUUGAACUCUAUGAUGAGUGGAUCCAGGCUUCCAAUAUCCAGGAGCAAGACAAGAAGCUUCAGGCUCUAUGGAAUGCUUGUGAAAAGUUGCCCAAGGCCAAUCACAACAACAUCCGAUACUUGAUCAAAUUUUUAUCCAAGCUAUCAGAAUAUCAAGAUGUAAACAAGAUGACUCCCAGUAAUAUGGCAAUUGUUUUAGGACCCAACCUCCUAUGGCCACAAGCAGAAGGGAACAUUACAGAGAUGAUGACCACAGUGUCGCUGCAAAUUGUUGGGAUCAUUGAACCUAUCAUCCAGCAUGCAGACUGGUUCUUCCCUGGGGAGAUAGAGUUCAACAUUACUGGCAAUUAUGGGAGUCCAGUACACGUGAACCAUAAUGCCAACUACAGCUCAAUGCCCUCCCCAGACAUGGACCCUGCUGACCGGCGCCAGCCCGAGCAGGCCCGCCGGCCCCUCAGCGUCGCCACGGAUAAUAUGAUGCUGGAGUUUUACAAAAAGGAUGGUGCCAGACUUCCUGGUCAAAUCAAUUUUUUUUUCUACUGCCUUCAAAAGAGUUUGCCAAAGUGUCUGCACUCUUGCUGGUUGGUCAGGAGCACCCAUGGAGCCAGCAUUGGGCUUUGGACUCCAAGCAUUUGUCAGAUGCCUCCACUGGCUACAUCCCCGACUGAGCCUGGACAAGCUGGGCCAGGACUGUUGAAGGACCUGUGGAGAAGCCCAGAGGCAAGAAUAGAAGCGACAGGCCGUGCGCAGUGGCUCACACCUGUAAUCCCUGCACUUUGGGAGGCCAAGCAUGGGUGUGAGGGUCAUGGACACAAACUGGGUGGCUCGAAGAGGCUCCUCGGCCGGUCGGAAAGUGUCCUGCGCCCCGCCCUCCAUGCAGCCUCCCGCCCCGCCCGCCGAGCUGGCUGCGCCCCUGCCUUCGCCGCUGCCGGAGCAGCCCCUGGACAGCCCCGCGGCCCCCGCGCUCUCUCCAUCCGGCCUGGGCCUCCAGCCUGGGCCCGAGCGCACCAGCACAACAAAAAGCAAGGAACUUUCUCCAGGGUCUGCACAGAAAGGAAGUCCAGGCUCCAGCCAGGGCACAGCCUGUGCAGGGACUCAACCAGGGGCUCAACCGGGAGCUCAGCCGGGCGCCAGCCCCAGCCCCAGCCAGCCGCCUGCAGACCAGAGUCCUCACACCCUCCGGAAAGUUUCAAAGAAGCUGGCACCAAUUCCACCCAAGGUCCCCUUUGGCCAGCCGGGGGCUAUGGCAGACCAGUCCGCUGGCCAGCCGUCCCCAGUCAGCCUGUCCCCCACCCCGCCCAGCACCCCGUCACCCUAUGGACUGAGCUACCCUCAGGGGUACUCCUUGGCCUCGGGCCAGCUCUCCCCAGCUGCAGCUCCUCCCCUGGCCUCUCCUUCUGUCUUUACAAGCACUUUGAGCAAAUCGCGGCCCACUCCUAAGCCGCGACAGAGACCUACUCUGCCGCCUCCUCAGCCUCCCACAGUAAACCUCUCGGCCUCUAGUCCACAGUCCACGGAGCCCCCCAUGCUAGAUGGCAUGUCCCCUGGGGAAAGCAUGUCUACAGAUCUUGUCCACUUUGAUAUUCCCUCGAUCCACAUAGAGCUCGGGUCAACGCUCCGCCUGAGUCCCCUGGAGCACAUGCGGCGACACUCAGUAACUGACAAGAGGGACUCGGAGGAGGAGUCUGAGAGCACCGCCCUCUGACAUGGCACCGCCCAUCCUGCCUCACGUGUACAUACAUCACGGGCCCUAGGAACGCCGCCAGGAGCAGCGUCCAUGAGCUUGCCAAGUGUUCUCUGCUGGCUCUUUCCUGCCACUGCCAACAUGAGGUUGGAAUUUGGCAGAAAAUUGUGAUCUCCAGUCCGUGUGGUGAUGCUGGUGGUGCAGGUUUUGUUUGUUCCUUUCGGGUGGUGACUUCGGCCUUUUGUUUGACCUUUGCCUUUUGACUUUGUGCCUCUUUUGAUCCACUUUCAGCCUCCAUGCCAAGCAACACCCACCUCUCCAUCCAAGGCUGGUCAGGAACGUCCUUUGCAAGGUCGGGGUGGUGCGGGAGAGGCUCACUUUGCCUGGUUCGACCCAAGGGCUGCUACCUUUUCCUUGGACGGCUCAUGUCAGGUCUUGCAGGAUCAGUUUAAUGGCCACAGAAAGGAAGCAGGACAGCAGGGCCCCUCUCACCCACAACUGGACCAGGUCCGGGAUUCUAGCAGUCCUGGGGCACUGACCUUUGCCAGCUACUUGGGGGAGGGCUUGCCACUGGAAAACCUUUCAGGCCGCCCCCAUCAGUGGGCUCCAAAGUAAAUGGCUGAAAACAAAAAUGUUUCACUUCCUAACAGUUUUCCUUUUUCCACUGUGUGACUGAAAGCUCCUAUAUCAUUUUAUAUUUCUGAAUCUAUAAAACAAACAAGCCUGACAGUGUCUGGAGGAGCCAAAGGUGGCUUCCAUGUCCCCAAAUAUAUUGGCUAUAUGAGAGUAAUUUUACCCCUCUACUAACCUAAAGGCACCCAGUUCACUAGUCUGUGGGGUCCUGGAGCCUGUCUCUUCUUUCUGGAGGUUCAAACUGAAUAGCAAUAAUUACGUUACCCAAAGCAUGUGGAGGAAAAGUGAAACCAGCCACGGAGAUGCCGGCCCACGGGCUCGGCCUGCGGCGUGGCCUGCUUUGCUCACCAGCGUCAGCCGCUCAUUCCUUCUCAUGAAGUCCCAUCUGGUCAUGGGGACGAGGGCCGGGAGGGCACCGGGUAGCCUUUUCACACUUGGGGAUUAGGGGAGUGAGAAAAGAUUUGGGCCAUGCAUGCAAAGUCAAAGUUUAAAAUUUUAUCCUUUUCAAAUAGAUAUAAUAUACCUAUACAUGAUAUAAUAUUUGUAUAUAUGAAAUCUCUCUAUAUUUGUUUAAUUUGAGCCAUUCAAUCUAAACCAAUGUACAGGUGUACAAUGAAAAAUUUAAAUGCUUAGUUAUUUUUCCCAACACAGUGUAAAGUCACCCUCCUCUGAGAGUGGGAUGUGCAGAGUUUUGAUGUUGCAGCUUUGCUCACUUCCUGGCAAGGGCAGGUCAUGCCUCAAUUUGUAAUGGGAGUCUGGGGUAAGGGUGGGGGUUGAAAGUUGUUAUCUUUAAAUACAUGUACAAAUCGUUGUCAAAAGUAACGUUAUUAAAAUAGAUUUAUUAUCCCUGA